UCGACGCUGCUGCGUAGUGUUUCUCCAUAGAUGAGUAGUGGAGAUUGGUUGAGAAACCAGAUGAUGAGGAAGAGCAUAUGUGUCCAACUGAUCCACCGUUACUGGAAGAAAGCAAGUGAUAGGUUUGUUGUCCUAAUGGCUUGUGGUCUGGUCUCAUGAAAGCAGCUUCUGGUGCUGAAGAAGGGUUUGGUGUAGAUGGGAUUGAAGAAGUGCGAGCGAGGUUACUGAGCUCCCUAGAACCUGAUCUCUGAACCGGACGAGCCUCCAUUGUUGUCCUGACCAAAACAAAACAAAAAUACACAAAUGAACUCUCCAUACUUGAAACUGAAGUUGUCAGAAUCUGUAAAAACUCAGUGUAACACAAAAGAAGCUGUUAAAUAGUACUAAACACCAAACUUAUAAAAAACUCAAUGUAACACAGAAGCUGUCCAAAAAAAUCUCAAGAAAAGGAGACAGAAAGCAAACAAACAGCAUGAGUUCGAGGUCCCUGUCUUAUUGAAAUAAAUUUGCAGUCUUUUAGCGAGAAAAUAUGAGAAACUCAGCUGAAAUAUAAAAAAACAAAUCUUAAUUGUAAUAAAGGACAACACAAGCAUCGAACAAAAGCAAAAACACAUUAUCCAACAACCAAACAUCAGCUUCUCUGGAAAGGUAAAAACCCAAUCGUGAAUCUCGAGAAAACCCAACACAACAAAGAUAUAAACAAUCUCUCUCCCUGUAUGUAUGUAUGAUUACGAAACGAAACGAAUCGAAAAUUCUCACCUAGCAGCGACUCAUGGGGAUCUCGUCGGAGAUGAACGAAUUCGAAUCUAGAUGAUGAUUAAACCUUAACCUUUGAAGAAAAUCAUCGGAGAAAUCGUCUGGUCCGCAAGCGACGACGACGGUGGACCUCUUUUUGUAAUUUCGGAGGUGGUGGCUGUCUUGACAAGGGGAUGGAUCAGUCGUCGUGCACUUACGCGCGGUGUGUCACAGCGCGUGAGUUAUUUCGCUUGUUGGAACCAACUAAAAUUCACACUUGGAGACUGUUUAUUGGAUAAGAGGAAUCAUUAAGAGUUAGGCUUGGUCUUUUUCGGUGUUUUUUUUAAUUAUUUUUCUGAUAUCUGUGGCCUUUCGUUCGCUUAUAAGCCCAUUAAGCUACUUAGGCCCAAAGUUGUCUCUGUUGAUCUUUUUGCUAAAUAACUCGUAUUUCGUUGUCCAGUAAGAAUAGAGAUGUUAUCAUUAGCUCGACUCCAUCUUGUUUAUAAUCUCAACCCAGUUUUAGGCCCUAACUCAAUCUUUUUUUUUCUCAAUAGCAUACAUAUUACUGUUAUGCCUAAUAAAUAUGGGCCUAUAAUUUAAAGCCCGUAACUGAUAUGAUGAAAGUAUCAAAUGAAAGAACUAGGGUUGGAAAAAAGAACCUAAACAGACCCAAACCACCCACAAUAUUUUGAUGAAAAAAACUAUAAGAAAAUGCGUUGAUGUGUUUUUUGUAUCUUCCUAAUUUGUUUCAUAUUACUUUGUUUCAUAACCGUUGCAGGGAAAUAAUUUAAUUUGACUUUUAGGUUAUUUUGUAGGGGUGGACGUUCAGGUACUCAUUCAAGUUCGCUUCGGAUCUAUUCGGGUUUUGGAUUUUCGAAGUUAAAGAUUUUAGUCCAAUUUAGGUAUAUAGAAAUUUUAGUUCAUGUUCGGUUCGGGUUCUAAUAACCCUUUUAAAUGAUUUUUAAUUUUUUUUAAUUCAUUUAUGAUUUAAAUUUCUCAAAAUCUGAAAAUAAAAACAAUAUAUAACAUAUAAAUUUGAAUAAUGUAUGCCAAAAUACCUAAAGUUAACAAAAACAUUGGUUUGGCUUGAAUAUUUAGAUGGGGAAUCAAUAGAUAUAUUAAGUAUUUUUGGCGUUACAAGUAUUUUUAGCUAUUUUAGAUAUUUACUUUUGACUAUUUUUUAUAUAUUUUCAAAUAUUUUAGACAACUUCAAAAUAUCUUCACAUUUUAUAUCUUUUUGCAUAUUAAUCUAAAAAAUAGCUAACAUAUUGAAGUAUAUAAAUCUAGUUCGAAUAAAAGUAAAAAAAUUAUCAAUUACGAUAUAUUUAUUUAUUAGGUGUUUUGCCCGCACAUGCGGGCAUAAUCAUCUUAUGAAUACUUAUUAAUUUAUGUCUUAUUAAUCCAAAAAUCAGCAUAGUAAAACUCUAAUUGGUGACCAUGUUGAAAAAACCAAAUUAGUGUGAAUUCUUUGUUUCUCAAAAUUUAUAUCAAUUAUGUUCAAAUUUUAGUCAAAUUAUUGAAAUGUAGAUUCCUUUUUUUUUCCUCUAAAUUCCCUAUGGAGGAAUGAAUUUAUAAGAAAAAAAAUUUCUAUGCAAUUUUGAUAAGGAACAAAUUGAACAAAAUUCAUAUUUUUUUUAAAUUUUUCAAUUCCUUAAAUGAAAUUUUAUUUUUUUAUUUUGUUCAUUUUUUUACAUUCUUCUAGUGGUCACCAAGUGAAGCCAUAGUGUUUCACGGAUUAAACUUAAACUGGUUUUAAGUAAAAGCAAUUAAAAAACAUUUUGUUUUAAACUCAGUCACAAGUUAAGUUAUUAUUUAUGAUUUCAAAUAGUUAAAUCAAACAUCAAAUGAUUAAUAUAUGUCAAAAAAACGUUCAUCAAAGUAUAUACUUAUUAUUGUGUUAAAGGUUUUAAAACACUCAUAUAUUAAAAAUAGUUAAAAAAUAUCUUUAUAUGAAUAUUUUUGUUUGACUAAUAUUUAAUUAUAAAUUAUUUUAUAUCUUAAUUUUUUAACUUUAUAAUACAAAAUAGUGUUUUCAGAUAGCAACACAAUAUAUAUAAGAAUUCUCUUAAUUUUUAAAAUAUAUUUUCACAAUUUUAUUAUAUUAUUUUAUAAUUAAUUAUUUAAUAUAAAAUCUAAAUUUAAUAUUAUUAAAAUAAAAUUCGUGUUUCAUUAUAAAUUUAGUACGGAUUUUGUGUAAAUUAAUAAAUACUGAGUUAAAAAUAAUAAUAAAUCAAUGACCUAUAUAAAAACUUAAAACCUAAUAAAAUAUGACAAAUAAUAAAAUUAACUAAAUAUUUAAUAUAACAUAUAAAUUUAAUAUUAUUAAAUCAAAACUCGUUUUUAAUUAUAUAUAAAAUUCAUUACGAGAAUUUUUAAUUUAAUAAAUUAGUGAUUCAGCUAAAACUAAUAAUAAAUCAAUGACUUAGCUAAAACUUAUAAAAACAUUAAAAAUAAUCAAAAUUGCCUAAAAAUAUGAAGAACAUGACAAAUCAUCAAAUUCACUUCUCAAAUAAUAGUAUAGAUAAAUAUUUAUAUUCGUGCAUGAGCACAGGAGAACCACCUAAUCCUUAAUAUUUUUAUAACCAUAUAGUAUCAUUAAAAAGCUAUAGUACUGGACUGGCAUAUAGAUUUUAAUAUAUUGUUGAUGGAUAUAUCUUUAUCUGAACUUUUAAUCAAUAUCUAAGCUCUAUGCAUAUACACAGUUUUCUUUUGUGACAAAUACAUAUAUGUAUAUAUGUAAUAUUACCUCUAAAACUUAUUUUGUUACAGAAAUUCUAUAUAGCUCUACUAAAAAUUUAGAGGUAAUGUUACAUAUGAUGUUCAAAAAAGUUAGAAGUAAUCGUACAUAUAUGCGUAUAUGCUUUCAAACGACUUGUUGAUUUUUUUUGUUUUUUUUGUCAGCACUUGUUGAUUUCUUAUGAUAUAAUUUAAACAAAUUAUGUACAUCCUAAAAAUAUAAACAAGUAUUUUGAAUUUGAGCUGAUAAUUGUCUCGUAUGAAAUGAAACAGGCAUAUAUAUAUGCAUUUCUUAUUAGGAUCAGUCGACUUGGAUAUCGGAGGACCAUAUUGAGCUUUCUAAUGGACCAUAUAAAAGACAUCGUAAUUUUUUUUUCUUGCAAUAUGGUAUAUGUAUGGUUCAACACCAUCUCCCUCGUGGUCGAGAUACAUUUUAAGUUUACAUUUUUUGGUUUUUCUUUAUCGAUAAUCAAUUAUCAUUGCUAAAAAGAGGGGACCAUUCUUCUCCCGCUCGACUAAUAUAACAAAUAUCAGUUGACUUUAAAAGUCGUCUGCAUUGUUUAAUGAGAUAUUUAAAAUUUCUGAAAAUAUGUUGGGUUCAAUUAACAACAGGUGUAACGAAUGAAUUAAGAUGAAUAAAAUAUAGUUGACUUUAAGCUUCUGUUGUUUAGUUUAUCAUCUAUACUAUGAAUAUAUAUACAUACUGAAACAUGAAUCAUUGAAUAUAAUUGAGAGUCAAAACUACAACGUUGUGGGAGCUAAGAAAUAAGAAAAAAAAUGGACUAUACAACAAUAAUACAAUCAUAGGUCGGACUAUUUCUAUUAUGGCUACUACAAGUUCUUAUGCAUGCCUUACUUUUCACAGAGAUUCAAAAAAUUAUUUGAAACUAUAUGUUUGCAGCAUGAAUUCGUGCAUGAUUCAUAUCACAAGUCAUAUACCAAAAGUACAUGGUGUUUGAUUAUUAUUAUUAUUAUAUAUCUUUCACUUUGCUCUUAUGACUUGAAUAACACAUUUAAAAACAGGAAAAACAAAGUAAAUGUUGUAACUUAAGUUUCUAUUUAUGGAAAGUACGUUUUCACAUGUCGAACUGUUAGUUAUGGGGAUAGUCAAAUGGACUUUAACUGACCUUCGGUUGCAUCAAAUUAUAGAAUGAUUUAAUAUUAUAACUAGAUUUUGACCCGCCCUUAAAAGGGCGGGUAUAUUUUUGUUUUAUAUUUUAAAAUUUUUUAGUUUUUAUAUUUGUGUUUUUAGUUAUAUCUGUGUUUUUCUUUGUAUAAUAUUUUUUAAAAUAAUUAAUAAAAGAUUUUUAUAAUUUUAUUAAAAUAAUUAUACCACACCUAUGAGUAGGUCAUGUUCCUAAUUUGAUAGUAUUGAUUAUAUAUACCAUUAUUGUUAGACUCGUGUAAAAAUCAAAAAGCAAAAAACAGUUUUAACAUAAUUAAUAGUUUCUAACCCGCCCUUUGAAAGGGCGUGUAUAUUUUUUUGUUUUAAUUUUUUUUGAGAAAUUUAUUUUUUUCUAUUUGAGUUUUUAAUCAAAUUCAUGUUUAAUAUUAAUUUAAUUUAAUAUUUUUUAGUAACUAUAUUAAAUAUGUAAAGUUGCAUAACUAUACACUUGUGCCGUACACAUUUCAGAAAUUAUUUUCAAAAUUUAUUUCUAAAGUUUUCAACCAUUUAUAUAUAUAUUAAUAUGGUCUUCACUAACUUGAAGUAAGAUCAUAUUUAAUCAAAAAAAUUAAUCGAACAACUUAUUUAAAACCUAUUGUACUAAAUGAGUUUAUAUGAAUAUUUAUUUCAAUUAAAAAAUCACUUAAACCCCAUUAAACUUUAUUUUAACAUCACGUGCUUUGUUAAUCGAUAAAUUUAAUGUUUGUGUAGAAUAUUUCAAAUUUGAUUAAAUUAAUGUCUGAUUGAAUCAGUCUCAAUUUUUUGGAUUGAAAUAUAAGUUAUAUGUAAUGUAGUGUGAUAAUGAUUUUUGAAAAAUAUAUCAAAGUUUAUUAUAGUUAGAUAUUAUGAUGUAAUAAUCGGUGAAAAUAGUACUCUCUCCGUUCCUAAAAGAUCUAUAUUCUAAAUAAAAAAAUGUUUCAAAAAGAUACAUAUUCUAUAUUUUUAAUGCAAUUUUUUUCAACUAAAAAUGAGAAAUUUAAAAAAUUAAUUGCAUUUCUUAAAAUCUUAUUGGUUUAAAAAUAUAAGAAAUAUAAAUUAUAAAAACUAUGUAUUUAUAGCUAAGUUUUAAUAUGUUUUAUUAAAAGGUGUGAAAAUACUAAAACAUAGAGGGUGAUUGGUUGGACUGUAACUGUAGAAAAUUUACUUUAGAAUUUAGUCUGUAGGAUUUUUGUAUUUAACUUUAAAAGAUGUAGCUUUAAAAUUUCCUACAACCAAAAAGAUGGAGCUUUAGAAAAUAAGACUUUUAUAGCUAUUUUUUUUUAUUUUUUUUUUGGUGUAGCUUUAAUUUUUUGGUUGUAGUUUUAAAAACGAAUAUAAAGCAUGAUUGGUGGUUUUUGAGGUUGUAGAUAAAAGUUAAAACUAAAGUCACUUGUUACAACUCAACCAAUCACUCCCAUAGAUCUUUUGGAAACGAAAAGAGUAUAUAUUUUCUUUCGUAAUAUUAGGGGUGAAUAUAAAAAUUAAAACUACUAUAAGUGUUUUCUUUUGUAUUUCUUAACAAAUAUAAAGUGUAUAAUUUAAUAAUUACAUUUUAUACUUUUUAACCGAGAUUAUGAGAAACAAUUAACAUAUCAUUAUAAAAAGAUAUGUCAAUGAUAUAAAUGUAAAAAUACUCCAACUUACGAAGUGUACAAAUAGUUCAUGCAUUUAUAUUCAGUUCGAUGCCGUUAUAAAAAUAUGGUUCGAUGCAGUUACAUCACUAUAAAUAAUAAUAUAUUCUAUUUAAUCAGUUGAGUGCAGUUACAAAAACAUGGAUCGUUGCAGUUAUUAACAUAUCAUGACAAAUAAAAAUAUAUUCUAUUAAUCAAUUCAUUGCAGUUAUAUUUUUAAAUUGGACACAACAUUUUAUCAAUUGGUCAUGCUGCUGUUUUAAUAGAAUAGAUAGCUUUUGUCAGCUCAAUCUUGACUAUGGCUUUUUUUGCUCUUUUUCUUUUAACUCUCCUUAAUUGUUAAUUUAAAUUAUGCAAACUUAAAGCUCAUCUAACAUCUGUAUUCGACUAUUCGUUUAGUAUAUGAUCAAUACGAAAUGCAACAACAUUAAAAUUAACAGAAAAUAAUACAAAUAAUUCAAUUUCAAGGCAAAUUUAAUUAGAAAGAAAACUCGCAACUCCAUUGAAUAAAAAAACUGGCGACGCGUUUGUGGCGCGCCAAAAGUGGUUAAAGCAGCAAGUCUUCCGCAACAAACGCGGUUAUAUUAUUAUUAUUUAUUUACGAUUAUUAAAAGUGUUAUGGUUCAUGUAUUUUUUUAAAUAAUUUAAUUUAUUUAUGAUUAUACAGCAACAGCAGUUGAAGAAAAGGAAAAAAGAUGGGCUAUGAAAACCCCACCAGUCCACCUCUAAAUCACAAUUUGCGCAACUAAACCCACAAGUCUAGAGAGAGAGAAGAGUUCUAAUAGAGAGAGAAAAAAUGGCGAGAUUGACGGUGCUGAUUGCUGCGGUGAUACUUGCUUUUCUAGUGGCAAUGCCGCUGCCGGAAGUAACGGCCAAGAAGUAUACAGUCGGAGACAACAAGUUUUGGAAUCCAAACAUUAACUAUACCAUAUGGGCUCAGGGAAAGCAUUUCUACCUCGGUGACUGGCUCUGUAUGCUCUCUCUCUCUCUUCUCUACAUUUCUCUCGUAUUCGUUUAUAUUAGAUCUGUUUUUUUUUCUUUUAAAUGGUCUUUGCUUUAACUCUAGUGAUAAUUUCAAAAGAUUUCAAACUUUUUACCAAUGUUCUGAAUUUCGAACAAUGCCAUUUAAGGCUCAUCAGUUUUGUUGUUUUUUUCCCAUAAAUGUUUCCUGAUUGGUCCAGAUCUGGUUUCCCAUAAACAGUAACAUUUUUUUGUCACACUUUGAAAUCUUUAAUCAGACAUUACCACUCUAGCUCAAAAUUCAAAUAAUGGGCCUUUUUUUUUGCUUUUUCUGAUAUGAUGUUAUGUUUUAUGGUCUCUUUGUUAGAUUUUGUGUUCGACAGAAACCAACACAACAUUCUCGAAGUAAACAAGACCGACUACGAAAACUGCAACUCCGACCAUCCUCUCGUAAACUGGACACGUGGAGCUGGGAGAGACGUUGUCCCUCUCAACGUGACCAAACACUACUAUCUUCUCGACGGAAAGGGUGGCUGUUAUGGAGGCAUGAAGCUCGCUGUUAAAGUCGAGAAGCUUCCUCCUCCGCCAAAAUCUGCACCUGUCAAGAACAUUGGAUCAGUUUCAGUGGUCACAGGUCUCGCUCAGUUCAUGAUUCCGUUUGCCCUGUUAAGGAUGUGGUAAGUGACACCAAUCUCACAGUUCUUUGGAUCCAAUCCGAUGUAAGAAAAAAACCUAAAAUUCUUUUCAGGGAAAGCAUUUAAACUAGAAAGUCCAAUCAGUUAAGUUUAUUUUUGUAAUGUUUGGUUUGUAACCUUUUUAUUUGGUUUUGUUUGUGUCUUUGAAUCAAUUGUCUAAAAAAGCGCUGUACUUGAUUUAUUUGCUGAAAUUAAUUGUUGAACAAAGAGAGUGUAUUAUCUGGAUCAUGUGUGAAUGAAAAUAUAUAAAAAUAUAAAUUUUUAAUAUAAUUUCGUAUUUUUGGCUUAUCUGUUCCAUGUGAGUAUAUCUGAGAUUGUACGUAAUUCCAGUAUUGAAAUCCAACCACCACAUGUCCCUUUUCGUAAACCUGUCAAUGACUCAAAUCUAUUACCAAAUAGAUUGAAAUUAAUAUGUUUCAAGUAUGAAACAAAAGAACAAUAUUUAGUUACGUGUAUCUAUGUAAUGUGUGUUUUUGUAUUUUGUAUGGAGGGGAUGUAAGUAGAUUUCUGAUUUCACAUGGACCCCCUAAAAGAAUAUGAAAAUGAUGCUGACUUGUGGGGACAUCGAGAAUUCUAGAUUGAAAAUAUAACGAAGCUUCUGGACAAUCUUUUUUUGGGCUGCAUGCACUUUAGCCCAGAAUAAAGGCCCAAUAAGGCCCGUUAUGUGAAAGUUUGAUGCAAGGAAUAUUUUUUUCCCGGGAAAAUUGAACACAAGACCAAAAGUUCGAACCGUUGUCUGCAAAGAUUCCAUCAGUUGCUGGAAUUGAGAGGCUAGAAAAUAAAAAAAACGAACAUUUGAUCAUUUUAUUACCUUAUGAAAUGCUUAUCGAAUCAAAAAGUUCGUUUCAUUCUCCGACAGUGUGCGCAGCACCGCUCGUUGCUCCGUUCCGGCAAGGAGCUGCACGGCGUUUUGACUACUUCUGGAUUGAAGAAAGCUCCGAGGUCUUACCUUAGCAACUCGCUCUUUCAGUUCUACGCUGCGUCCGGUGAUAAGGCUACUGCUCAGAAGGUGUUCGACGAAAUUCCUCUGACAGAAAAAGACAAUGUGGAUUGGACCACUUUGCUGUCCUCUCUUUCCCGGUGCGGAUACUUGGUUGAUUCUAUGAAGCUCUUCGUGGAGAUGAGAAGGAAAAGAGUAGAGAUCGAUGACGUGGCUGCGGUCUGCUUUUUUGGCGUGUGUGCCAAGCUAGAAGAUCUUGGUUUCGGUGAACAAGGACAUGGGUUUGCUGCAAAGACGGGACUUUUGACUAGCGUAAAGGUUUGUAAUGCUCUUAUGGAUAUGUAUGGAAAAUGUGGGUUUGUGGGUGAAGUCAGACGCUUAUUCGAGACGUUAGAGGAGAAGAGUGUUGUCUCAUGGACGGUGGUUUUGGACGCGGUUGUGAAAUGGGAAGGGUUGGAGAAUGGAAGAGAGGUUUUCGAUGGAAUGCCUGAGAGGAACGCUGUUGCUUGGACGGUUAUGGUUGCUGGGUAUGUGGGAGGUGGGUUUACAGGUGAAGCAUUGGAGCUUCUGGAGGAGAUGGUGUUUAAAUGUGGGUAUGGUUUGAAUUUCGUCACCCUUUGCUCGGUGCUAUCGGCUUGUGCGCGAUCAGGAAACCUGGUUAUCGGAAGAUGGGUUCAUGUUUAUGCGUUGAAGAUGGAGGAGGAGGAAGAGAGUUGUAAUGAUCAUGUCAUGGUGGGAACGGCAUUGGUUGAUAUGUAUGCCAAAUGCGGAGACAUAGACUCUUCCAUUAAAGUCUUCAGAUCUAUGCGGAAGAGGAAUGUGGUGACGUGGAACGCUUUGUUUAGUGGGUUAGCGAUGCACGGGAAAGGUAAGACGGUGAUUGACAUGUUCCAAGAGAUGGUAAGAGAGGUGAAGCGGCCAGAUAACUUAACUUUCAGUGCUGUCUUAAGUGCUUGCAGCCACUCCGGGUUGGUAGAAGAAGGGUGGCAGUGUUUCCACAGGCUUAGAUCCCAUGGUUUGGAACCUAAGGUUGAACAUUACGCAUGUAUGGUUGAUCUUUUGGGGCGAGCUGGUCGUGUUGAAGAAGCAGAGAUGUUGAUGAGGGGAAUGACAGUGCCUCCAAAUGAAGUCGUCCUCGGUUCGCUUCUAGGCUCGUGUAGCGUCCAUGGGAAGCUGGAGAUAGCCGAACGGGUUAAAAGAGAGCUUGUUGAGAUGAGUCCAGGCAACAUGGGAUACCAAAUAGUUUUAUCCAACAUGUACGCUGCAGAAGGAAGGAGUGACGUUGUAGAUAGGUUAAGAGGAAGUAUGAGAAACAGAGGAAUCAGGAAGAUACCUGGUAUGAGUUCAAUUCACUUGAACGGCUCAGUUCAUCGGUUUAUCGCGGGAGAUAGAUCACACCCGAGAACGAAAGAGAUUUACUUGAAGUUGACUGAAGUGAUUGAACGGAUUAGAUCAGGUGGUUAUGUCCCUCAUGUUCCUCCCUCGGAGGUUGACUUGGAGGACAAAGAGCAGGCUUUGAGCUGCCACAGUGAGAAACUUGCAGUCUGUUUCGGGCUUCUAGUAACUAAACCGAGGACAACUCUUUAUGUAUUCAAGAAUCUGAGGAUAUGUCAGGAUUGUCAUUCAGCUAUGAAGAUUAUAUCAAUGGUUUAUGACCGAGAAAUCAUCAUCAGAGAUAGAAAUAGAUUUCAUCAGUUCAAAGGAGGCUCUUGUUCUUGUUCNNNNNNNNNNNNNNNNNNNNNNNNNNNNNNNNNNNNNNNNNNNNNNNNNNNNNNNNNNNNNNNNNNNNNNNNNNNNNNNNNNNNNNNNNNNNNNNNNNNNNNNNNNNNNNNNNNNNNNNNNNNNNNNNNNNNNNNNNNNNNNNNNNNNNNNNNNNNNNNNNNNNNNNNNNNNNNGCUUUUACAUUAUUGAGGAUUUUUUGAUUAAAAAAACAAUUCCAUCGCAAUUGAAAACGCGAAUACCUUUUGAGAAAUAAGUCAAGUUCCGCUUCGGGGGGGGUUUUUUGGUUUUUUUUUUUUUUUUUUUUUUUUUUUUAUCCAAUUUAAAAAAAAAAAAAACUACUCACCUCUUGCAGAAGAGAAGAAGAGAAAAAACUAAGUUUUAAAAAAAAAUGUGGGGCACACCUCUUAAGAGGUGGGAUAAAAAUUUGACCUUUGAACUUUUGACACCUCUAAUGUUUGCUUUUCAGUUUUGAAUCUUUUGAUGUGCUCAGAAACAUAAUUUUUUUUUGCUUUGGUAUUCUUAUUAAUCAAAUUAAUUGAUCAAUUAUACAGAGUUGAAAGAAAAUAAGUUUUUGUCAGUUUAUAUGACAAGACAAAUAACAUUCAUAAUAGAAGAAAACAAACUGAGGGUUACAUAUUAAAAAAAAAGUAUUAAAACACAGAAUCUGUAUCCGUAAACUAACGACGAGUUACAGCAUUUAGAUUACAUUCAAAUGAUGAAGAUUCUCUCAACGAACUCUUAUUUUUGUUUUUGGUUUCUUCUUUGUCUACACAGCAGAGUUGAGAGAGUCUUCCAUCAGAAAAAUAGUUGAAACAGUAGAGACAGAAGGAAGUCCUGAAGACCCUCAAUAUAAGAGAGCUCUCUUUCUUUCUCUCUCUCGCUCUCUCUAUAACUGUUAAAACUCUGGAACUACGAAACGAUCCAGCAAUACACCAGUUCCUAGUAAAUGUAGAUAGAUGCUUUCAAUUGUCGGUUUUGACUCGCUUUGGCUGUGGAGAUUCAGGCUCUUGGCAUUUCCUGGUCUCCUCCGGUGCGAGCUCCUCUGAAUCAGCGGUCUUCUUGUUGUCUUCUUGCUCAGAUUUGGAUGGUGAAUCUGAUGUCGAUGCUGUCCCUUUGCCUUUGCCGAGACCAGAGUUUUGUUUCUCGAACAUCAUUUGCAGGUACUUGCCUUGUUCUUCUAUCCGGAGUUGCAGGUUUCUUUGAAUCUACAGCAAAAGCAAAAGAAAAACAGUUUAAUCCAAACUCAUAAUCUUUAGAAUCCAUAACUCAUACAAAGGGCAUAAAAACCAAAGCUAUAAGCAAUGUCUACCUCGAGCUGCUCAUGGAGUUGCUUCUGCACUUCCAUCUGAAGUCGCAGAGCCUCUGUAAUCCCUAUCCCACUGUAGUAUAAAUUAUGGUCAGCGAGAAUCUGUUAAACAUGGUGCAGAACUUGUUAUGUUUCUUACCCUUUCAAGUCAAGAGCUGUUAUAUGUUCAAGCGGUGUCAACUUCUUCUCUGGCGAGCCUGUAACGCUCAAAAAUAAAUUGAUUUUCAUGAAAAAAGUAAUCAUCAACGGAAUAAAAGAGAGCAGAGACAAUGGUAGCUACCACUUUCUGAUGGUUCUGGCCUAUAUCUAGCCGUCCUAUACUUCUGCAGUUUCAUAAAGCAAACACAAUCUUUCAUUAAAGAAGACAAAACUGUAUGCAUUUGUAGCACAGAGGAGAAAAUUAAAAGAACCUGUAAAUGACUUUUGACAUGAUAUAUAGUCAACCCUUCAACUUUCAUUUUCUUCAGCACACCCUUAGGAGUUGCUCCUGUGUGUAACCAGAAGAUAAAAAGAUUAUUAUCUUUCCAUAAAAAGUUUAUGGAAAGUAAAAGAGAAACAAAUGCUCACUGUCACUGCCACCAAGACUGUUGACAGCCUCAACAAAAGCCUCGUGAAGCUCUGGCGUCCAACGCAUACGUGCCUUGUUAUUACUGUUUGAAGAUGUUGUGCUGACAGGUCGCAGCUCCACAGACACAGAAGGAGAAGGUUGCUGCUGAACAGUCUGGGAUUGCGGUGGUAUGGGUUGCAGAGACUUCUGGUCCUAAAAACAAGUGUUCAAUUAGGGAAUCAAAGUAUAGACUUUGGAGUAGGAACUUUAACAAACCUUUGUGUCUGAAUUGGAACUGGUGUCAAUCAAGAGAUCGUUCCAGUUAGUCGAUAGUAAAGGAUCUUCGUCGGUGAUCAAGUGGUCAGCCCAUUGCCAAUCGUUUGGUUUUUGAAUGUCAUCAAACCCAGCGCCGAUGCCAAUGCAACCGUCCUCAAUCUGGCUGUUGUUAUGAACGGCCUGGUGGUCUUCAGGGAAAUCAAGAAACCCUCCAUUGCACCAAGAACUAUCAUCGUUGCUCGACGCUGCUGCGUAGUGUUUCUCCAUAGAUGAGUAGUGGAGAUUGGUUGAGAAACCAGAUGAUGAGGAAGAGCAUAUGUGUCCAACUGAGCCACCGUUACUGGAAGAAAGCAAGUGAUAGGUUUGUUGUCCUAAUGGCUUGUGGUCUGGUCUCAUGAAAGCAGCUUCUGGUGCUGAAGAAGGGUUUGGUGUAGAUGGGAUUGAAGAAGUGCGAGCGAGGUUACUGAGCUCCCUAGA
rnacentral:lncRNA from 1 species